rnacentral:rRNA from 1 species
AGGAUGAACGCUAGCUACAGGCUUAACACAUGCAAGUCGAGGGGAAACGACAUCGAAAGCUUGCUUUCGAUGGGCGUCGACCGGCGCACGGGUGAGUAACGCGUAUCCAACCUGCCCAUCACUUGGGGAUAACCUUGCGAAAGUAAGACUAAUACCCAAUGACGUCUCUAGAAGACAUCUGAAGGAGAUUAAAGAUUUAUCGGUGAUGGAUGGGGAUGCGUCUGAUUAGCUUGUUGGCGGGGUAACGGCCCACCAAGGCGACGAUCAGUAGGGGUUCUGAGAGGAAGGUCCCCCACAUUGGAACUGAGACACGGUCCAAACUCCUACGGGAGGCAGCAGUGAGGAAUAUUGGUCAAUGGGCGAGAGCCUGAACCAGCCAAGUAGCGUGCAGGAUGACGGCCCUAUGGGUUGUAAACUGCUUUUAUAAGGGAAUAAAGUGAGCCUCGUGAGGCUUUUUGCAUGUACCUUAUGAAUAAGGACCGGCUAAUUCCGUGCCAGCAGCCGCGGUAAUACGGAAGGUCCGGGCGUUAUCCGGAUUUAUUGGGUUUAAAGGGAGCGUAGGCCGGAGAUUAAGCGUGUUGUGAAAUGUAGACGCUCAACGUCUGCACUGCAGCGCGAACUGGUUUCCUUGAGUACGCACAAAGUGGGCGGAAUUCGUGGUGUAGCGGUGAAAUGCUUAGAUAUCACGAAGAACUCCGAUUGCGAAGGCAGCUCACUGGAGCGCAACUGACGCUGAAGCUCGAAAGUGCGGGUAUCGAACAGGAUUAGAUACCCUGGUAGUCCGCACGGUAAACGAUGGAUGCCCGCUGUUGGUCUGAAUAGGUCAGCGGCCAAGCGAAAGCAUUAAGCAUCCCACCUGGGGAGUACGCCGGCAACGGUGAAACUCAAAGGAAUUGACG